GUAAAAGACGUUACGCUUUAUUGGAGUUUUCCAAGGUUAGAGGGCUGCACCUUUCUUUUGCCACUCGUGUAAUCCAUUCUGUAUUUUUGGAAAAUUUCAUUGGGAAAUGGAGUUGUGAAGAUAGUUGAUUAAUGAUUAAUGCUGACGUACGUUUGCUGGUGAGAUCUUAUUGUUCGCAACCCAGCUACACGAGGAAUUAUCCAAGAAAAGAUAUGCAAGCGACGUUAUCGAUUUGUUUAUUGAUCUUCGGCGUUUGUUUGCAAGGAGAUUUCUGUGAAAGUAAUAAAAUAUGUCAUGGAAAGCAAUACACUGUUAAAAGUGCUGAUGGAAACUUUGAAAAAUGUUAGCCUUGUGGAGUCUGCAAUGAGGGAUGGGGGCUGGAACCAAAAUGUGGAAGUAUUGUUAUAAGCCCUGUGAAUGAAACUUAUUGCCAGCGUUGCCAUGAUGGAGUAACAUAUUCUGACACU